UACGUAGGGUGCGAGCGUUGUCCGGAAUUAUUGGGCGUAAAGAGCUUGUAGGCGGUUUGUCGCGUCUGCCGUGAAAACCCGAGGCUCAACCUCGGGCCUGCAGUGGGUACGGGCAGACUAGAGUGCGGUAGGGGAGAUUGGAAUUCCUGGUGUAGCGGUGGAAUGCGCAGAUAUCAGGAGGAACACCAAUGGCGAAGGCAGAUCUCUGGGCCGUAACUGACGCUGGAGGAGCGAAAGCAUGGGGAGCGAACAGG
rnacentral:rRNA from 1 species